rnacentral:tRNA from 1 species
GGGCCUGUAGCUCAGUGGAUUAGAGCACGUGGCUACGAACCACGGUGCCGGGGGUUCGAAUCCCUCCUCGCCCG